rfam:Camelus ferus unplaced genomic scaffold scaffold2519, whole genome shotgun sequence.
GAAGAUAUAGCUCAAGUGGUAGAGUGUAAGCUUAGCAUGCACAAGGUCCUGGGUUCAAUCCCCAGUACCUCCA